UCAGGAUGAACGCUAGCGACAGGCUAACACAUGCAAGUCGAGGGGCAGCACGGGAGUAGCAAUACAACUGGUGGCGACCGGCGCACGGGUGAGUAACGCGUAUGCAACCUACCUAUCAGAGGGGAAUAACCCGGCGAAAGUCGGACUAAUACCGCAUAAAACAGGGGCACCGCAUGGUGAUAUUUGUUAAAGAGAUUCGCUGAUAGAUGGGCAUGCGUUCCAUUAGGUAGUUGGUGAGGUAACGGCUCACCAAGCCGACGAUGGAUAGGGGAACUGAGAGGUUGGUCCCCCACACUGGUACUGAGACACGGACCAGACUCCUACGGGAGGCAGCAGUGAGGAAUAUUGGUCAAUGGGCGGGAGCCUGAACCAGCCAAGUCGCGUGAAGGAAGAAGGAUCUAUGGUUCGUAAACUUCUUUUGCAGGGGAAUAAAGUGCAGGACGUGUCCUGUUUUGUAUGUACCCUGAGAAUAAGGAUCGGCUAACUCCGUGCCAGCAGCCGC
rnacentral:rRNA from 1 species